ACCCAAUAGAUACCCUGGUAGUCCACGCGGUAAACGAUGAGUACUAGGUGUAGGAGGAGUGAAAUCCUUCUGUGCCGAAAGCAAAAACGCGCUAAGUACUCCGCCUGGGGAGUACGGCCGCAAGGCUAAAAACUCAAAGGAAUUGACGGGGGCCCGGCACAAGCAGCGGAGCGUGUGGUUUAAAAUUCGAUGCAACACGAAGAACCUUACCUGGGUUUGACAUCUGCGUAGUAGUGAACUGAAAGGGGUAACGACUCUUCGGAGAGCGCAGACAGGUGCUGCAUGGCUGUCGUCAGCUCGUGCCGUGAGAUGUUGGGUUAAAGUCCCGCAACGAGCGCAACCCCGUAUUGCCAGUUACAAGUGUCUGGCGAGACUGCC
rnacentral:rRNA from 1 species